GGUGCACAUGAUGUUUUAAAGCGAUCAAAGUAUGAUUACUGUGAUUCCAACCAUUAUUACUGAUGCACU